rnacentral:rRNA from 1 species
AGCAGUAGCCACGGUAAUACGUAGGGUGCGAGCGUUAAUCGGAAUUACUGGGCGUAAAGCGUGCGCAGGCGGUUCGUUAAGACAGAUGUGGAAUCCCCGGGCUUAACCUGGGAACUGCAUUUGUGACUGGCGAGCUAGAGUAUGGCAGAGGGGGGUAGAAUUCCACGUGUAGCAGUGAAAUGCGUAGAGAUGUGGAGGAACACCGAUGGCGAAGGCAGCCCCCUGGGAUAAUACUGACGCUCAUGCACGAAAGCGUGGGGAGCAAACAGGAUUAGAUACCCGCGUAGUCCCUGUCUCUUAUAA